GAUUGUGACUCAGUGGUAGAGCACUUGCCUCACACAUGUGAGGCACUUGGGUUCAAAUCUCAGCAAUGCA
rnacentral:tRNA from 1 species